GUUUCUCAGAGGCCAAGUAAAAGCUGGCUGAAGCAUAGCCCGAGGUCUUCACACAAACCUGACAAACCUCAAUAACCUGUUUUGCAUCUUCCACUACAGAAGCAGCUCGGGUGGCACCCAAGUUGGGAAACUUGAGCAGCAACUGGCUCUCUGCUGAAGCUUUUACUUGCAGCAACGAGAUGGACAAGGGCUGGUGACUAAGACACAUUAACCAGGUGGAACUUGAACAUCAGCACAGGAGAAGUUCUCAGGCUGCUAGAGGAACAUGAGCUGUCGUGAACUCAAUGACUUGAAAACUCAAAUACAGGCCCAGCUCUCCUCAGCUCCUCUGCAGAAACCUUCUCCCUCCACUGUCAUCUGGCUGCAGACAGACAUGCCUGUACAAGCACACUUUGUAGAGGCUAAUUACAGCUAAUGAGAUGGGCACACAGUCUCUUCGGUUGCAUGGGUGUAAGCACAGAGCAGCAUCAGUGAGCUCCAGCACCACUGGCAAAUGCUUUCCCCAAACACUCUGUGGGUAGAACAGCCUGUGAACGUUUCCCCUUUCUGCAGAAACAGGGAACAGAAGCAGAGCAAGCACCAUGAGGAACUGAACUAAUUCAAGCACAGAGCAAGGGGUGACGUUCCAGACAGCUGAGCGUGUUCCCAGCGACACUGAAACAUCCGACUGCUCA